GACAGAGGUGCCGAGCGUUAGGCGGAAUCACUGGGCUUAAAGCGUGUGUAGGCGGCCCGUUAAGUGCCUCGUGAAAUCCCCCGGCUCAACCGGGGAACUGCCGGGCAUACUGGCGGGCUUGGGUCGCUCAGGGGCAGACGGAACAGGCGGUGGAGCGGUGAAAUGCGUAGAUAUCGCCUGGAACGCCGAAGGUGAAAACGAGUCUGCUG
rnacentral:rRNA from 1 species